GGUGGCUCCAUCCUCAGCAUCCUUCUCCCUAUAUACCCUGGGUCCCUCCUCUGCACAUGUCCAAACCAUCUCAAUCUCACCUCUCUGACUUUGUCUCCAAACAGUCCCACCUGAACUGUACCUCUAAUAUAUUCAUUCCUAAAUCUGUCCAUCCUCGUCACUCCCAAAGAGAAUCUCAGCAUCUUCAGCUCUGCCUCCUCCAGCUCUGCCUCCUG